rnacentral:pre_miRNA from 1 species
UCUUAUAGAUGAGCCAAGAAAGUGGUUUCUGGAGAUGGAAUCUAUUCCUGGCGAAGAUACUGUGAA